GAUGAACGCUGGCGGCGUGCCUAAUACAUGCCAGUCGAGCGAACAGACGAGGAGCUUGCUCCUCUGACGUUAGCGGCGGACGGGUGAGUAACACGUGGAUAACCUACCUAUAAGACUGGGAUAACUUCGGGAAACCGGAGCUAAUACCGGAUAAUAUAUUGAACCGCAUGGUUCAAUAGUGAAAGACGGUUUUGCUGUCACUUAUAGAUGGAUCCGCGCCGCAUUAGCUAGUUGGUAAGGUAACGGCUUACCAAGGCAACGAUGCGUAGCCGACCUGAGAGGGUGAUCGGCCACACUGGAACUGAGACACGGUCCAGACUCCUACGGGAGGCAGCAGGAGGGAAUCUUCCGCAAUGGGCGAAAGCCUGACGGAGCAACGCCGCGUGAGUGAUGAAGGUCUUCGGAUCGUAAAACUCUGUUAUUAGGGAAGAACAAAUGUGUAAGUAACUAUGCACGUCUGGACGGUACCUAAUCAGAAAGCCACGGCUAACUAAGU
rnacentral:rRNA from 1 species